rnacentral:rRNA from 2 species
AUGGGCGCAAGCCUGAUGGAGCAACACCGCGUGAGUGAAGAAGGGUUUCGGCUCGUAAAGCUCUGUUGUUGGAGAAGAACGUGCGUGAGAGUAACUGUUCACGCAGUGACGGUAUCCAACCAGAAAGUCACGGCUAACUACGUGCCAGCAGCCGCGGUAAUACGUAGGUGGCAAGCGUUAUCCGGAUUUAUUGGGCGUAAAGCGAGCGCAGGCGGUUGCUUAGGUCUGAUGUGAAAGCCUUCGGCUUAACCGAAGAAGUGCAUCGGAAACCGGGCGACUUGAGUGCAGAAGAGGACAGUGGAACUCCAUGUGUAGCGGUGGAAUGCGUAGAUAUAUGGAAGAACACCAGUGGCGAAGGCGGCUGUCUGGUCUGCAACUGACGCUGAGGCUCGAAAGCAUGGGUAGCGAACAGGAUUAGAUACCCUGGUAGUCCAUGCCGUAAACGAUGAGUGCUAGGUGUUGGAGGGUUUCCGCCCUUCAGUGCCGGAGCUAACGCAUUAAGCACUCCGCCUGGGGAGUACGACCGCAAGGUUGAAACUCAAAGGAAUUGACGGGGGCCCGCACAAGCGGUGGAGCAUGUGGUUUAAUUCGAAGCUACGCGAAGAACCUUACCAGGUCUUGACAUCUUGCGCUAACCUAAGAGAUUAGGCGUUCCCUUCGGGGACGCAAUGACAGGUGGUGCAUGGUCGUCGUCAGCUCGUGUCGUGAGAU